UACGGGGGGGGCAAGCGUUGUUCGGAAUUACUGGGCGUAAAGGGCUCGUAGGCGGCCAACUAAGUCAGACGUGAAAUCCCCAGGCUCAACCUGGGAACUGCGUCUGAUACUGGAUGGCUUGAAUCCGGGAGAGGGAUGCGGAAUUCCUGGUGUAGCGGUGAAAUGCGCAGAUAUCAGGAGGAACGCCGGUGGCGAAGGCGGAUCGCUGGGCCGGUACUGACGCUGAGGAGCGAAAGCGUGGGGAGCGAACAGG
rnacentral:rRNA from 1 species